rnacentral:rRNA from 1 species
CCUACGGGUGGCAGCAGUGAGGAAUAUUGGUCAAUGGACGCAAGUCUGAACCAGCCAUGCCGCGUGCAGGAAGACGGCUCUAUGAGUUGUAAACUGCGUUUGUACGAGGGUAAACGCAGAUACGCGUAUCUGUCUGAAAGUAUCGUACGAAUAAGGAUCGACUAACUCCGUGCCAGCAGCCGCGGUAAUAAGGAGGAUUCAAGCGUUAUCCGGAUUUAUUGGGUUUAAAGGGUGCGUAGGCGGUCGGAUAAGUUAGAGGUGAAAUCCCGAGGCUCAACUUCGGAAUUGCAUCUGAUACUGUGCGGCUAGAGAGUAGUUGCGGUAGGCGGAAUGUAUGGUGUAGCGGUGAAAUGCUUAGAGAUCAUACAGAACACCGAUUGCGAAGGCAGCUUACCAAGCUACUUCUGACGUUGAGGCACGAAAGCGUGGGGAGCAAACAGGAUUAGAUACCCCUGUAGUC